AUAUACAGUUCUCCACAUCUUAAAUAAACCUAGACAAAUAAGAAUUUUCAACCUACGUAUUCAACAUAUUUACUUACCAAAUUCAAAAACAUUGAAAUUAUCCUUUUGCAUUCCUCUCCUUGUUUACGAAUUAUUGUAAUUAGGACGGAUUACAUUUAUUCAUUUCUACAUGAACAAAUUUUACCCAGUUUCAUGUGACUAGGUCCAUGAGAUACUAGGAAACGGAAAUAGAAUAUAAAAGUAAUUACAACUGGGAAAGUUUUGCUUUCAUGCUACAGAAUAUAAUUGUCCAGAAAUGUAAUUUUCUUGCUAUUAAUAAUCGAGAAAACUCCAGUACAACACACAAUUUCAUGAACAAACUUUUAAUCUUUUUUUUAAAUGUGACUUAUUACUGGGAUUUAAAAAAUCUCAGUGAAUCAGUUUGCCCCCAAAUAGUAAAUAAAAUAUCAAAUAUAUGUCAGAAAUAAAAUGGAAAACAGAUUUUAAAAGUUAAAAAUAAAGAGCAGAGCACAAUUAAAAGGAAAUGAUAACUGGGAUAUAUAAAAAGUUAUUAGAAUUAGCAUCUACGGCAAUAACAUUAGUACAUCCCCUAUUUCCAAAAAGACAUCAUGGUGCAAAAUCUUAGGUAAGAUAACAAUAUAGGAAGGAAGAGCAUUUCUCUGUUUCUUCUUGUCUUUUUACUGCCAUCAUCCUCCCAACUGCAAGUAGCUUUAAAGCUCUAUCCUCAAUCUUCUAUUCUAUUUAUAAAUCACUUUUUAAUAGCUAUCUGUUGAUUUUUCUACCCAGUAUCUACUCACUGUAUGUUUCUACAUAUCAUCUUAAAUAUUCUCUGAUAAAAUAUUUCUUCCCCAUUCUAUCUCUCUAAUUGCUCAGAGUAGGACUCUAUUUCUAGCUUCAGAAAUAGAGCAUGUGACCUAUGCUCACUCUGGCCACAUUUAGUCAUUUGGGAUAGGCACACAAAACAGUCUGGGCCACUAACGCACUAUGGACUUUUAUUUAUAUAUUUUUAAAUGUAAACAUUUAAUUUAAAACUAAUAAUUCACCAAUGAAUUAAUCUCCAAUAAGUCUAUAUUUGGUAAACGUACUUUUUUGUGGUUAUAACGUGUGGCUUUUAAUAUAUUCACAG
rnacentral:lncRNA from 10 species